ACGGAAGGCAGCAGUGGGGAAUAUUGCACAAUGGGGGAAACCCUGAUGCAGCAACGCCGCGUGAGUGAAGAAGUAUUUCGGUAUGUAAAGCUCUAUCAGCAGGGAAGAAAAUGACGGUACCUGACUAAGAAGCACCGGCUAAAUACGUGCCAGCAGCCGCGGUAAUACGUAUGGUGCAAGCGUUAUCCGGAUUUACUGGGUGUAAAGGGAGCGCAGGCGGUUUAGCAAGUCUGAUGUGAAAUCCCGGGGCUCAACCCCGGAACUGCAUUGGAAACUGUUGAACUAGAGUGCCGGAGAGGUAAGUGGAAUUCCUAGUGUAGCGGUGAAAUGCGUAGAUAUUAGGAGGAACACCAGUGGCGAAGGCGGCUUACUGGACGGUAACUGACGCUGAGGCUCGAAAGCGUGGGGAGCAAACAGGAUUAGAUACCCUGGUA
rnacentral:rRNA from 1 species